AUGCAUUGCUCUGGUGUUCUGUCCCUAACUUCAGAAAUGAUUAUGACUGGCAGGCAGGGAUACUCUCACAGUUCUGGCCUUGGAAUCAAAGACAAUAGCGCCUUCAGGCCCGGAGUAUAUCUCAACUUCAACGUGCAAAGCAGUGCGCAAGAAUGGAAAGAGGAGAGCAAGAGGAUAUGUUCUAUCAAAACCACCAAUGCUGUCAUGAACAAUGUUUAUAAUGGUUACGCUCUGCGAUCAGGAAAUCUUCAUCAUGAUCCCUUGGAAGAUUGCAAGACCUCCAACCAGUCUCCAUUGUACAGUGUAAGAGAAAGAAUGGCUCCUAACUCUCUUGCAAAUAGACACGCCAAUAUGGAAUUGGCAAAGCAACAUGUGAUGAGUCCCACUGCAGGUGCUGUGUCAGCACUGACCAGUGCUGUGGAUUAUGACAUCAAAUCGCUAAACAGGUCUAGUGACUCCGAAGUGGAAAUCCAAUGGCCUAAUGGUUCCAAAAUUGACGCUUCUCUGCCAAAUAUUCAUCAAGUCAAAAAGGGCCUGCAGUUUGGUGGCAAGGCUGAUGAUUAUGAUGAAGUUGAGCAUGAAUGCACAGCCAAAACUGUGGUUAAUGAUGACAUCAAACUGCCAAACAGGCCAAGUGGUUCUGAGGUGGAGAUGCAUUGGCCUACUGGCUCCGAGAUUGAUGAUUCUCUGCUAACUACUGGUAAAGUCAAAAGGAGCCCUAAGAUUCGUAAAGUCAAGAAGAGCCCUCAGUUUAAUGACUUGGCUAUAGAUGGUUAUAAUGAAGCUGAGCAUGAAUGCACAGCCAAGACAGCGGUACAGCCUCCUCCAGCUAAAGCCCCCUUGUCCAAGGAGGCUAAAGAUGCACGGGAGGCUCUUGCUACCAUCUACGACAAAGUUCUGGUGGUCGACACCGUUGAAUCAGCUAGGAGUGUUGUUCAGCUACUUACCACAAAGUACAAGAGCUUUAUUCAUGCAUGUGACACAGAGGUGUCAAAUAUUGAUGUUAAACAAGAGACACCAGUUGGCCAUGGAGAUGUCACAUGCUUUAGCAUCUAUUCUGCCAGCUCUGACGCUGAAGCUGAUUUUGGAAAUGGUAAAACAUGCAUUUGGGUGGAUGUACUGGAUGGUGAAAGGGAUGUCCUCAUGGAGUUUGUUCCCUUCUUUGAAGAUUCAGCGAUCCGGAAGGUAUGGCACAACUAUAGUUUCGAUAAACAUGUAAUUGAGAACUAUGGAAUCAAAGUUGCUGGAUUUCAUGCUGAUACAAUGCAUCUCGCACGGCUUUGGGACUCUUCGAGAAGACUUGAUGGAGGAUAUUCACUCGAAGGACUCACAAAUGAUAGCAGAGUCAUGGGUGUGGUCCCAAAGGAACUACAAAAGAUUGGAAAGAGAUCAAUGAAAACCAUCUUUGGCAGGAAAAAGAUUAAAAAAGAUGGCUCCGAAGGAAAAAUUACUACCAUAGAGUCUGUUGAGGUUUUGCAAAGAGAGGAUAGAGAGCUGUGGAUCAGCUAUUCUUCUUUAGAUUCAGUGAGUACCUUGAGGCUUUAUGAAAGCUUGAAAAGUAAGCUUGAAAAAAAGCACUGGUCGUUUGAUGGUUGCCCCAGAGGUUCAUUGUAUGAUUUCUACGAGGAGUACUGGCGUCCUUUCGGCGCUAUUCUUGUAAAAAUGGAAACAGCUGGAAUGCUUGUUGACCGUGCUUACCUGUCAGAGAUUGAAAAAGUUGCUGUUGCACAGCGAAAAGUAGCUGCAGAUAAAUUUCAGAAAUGGGCAUCUAAAUAUUGCCCUGAUGCAAAGUACAUGAAUGUUAAUAGUGAUACCCAGAUUCGCCAACUCUUCUUUGGUGGCAUAGAAAAUAGACGCAACCCUGGUGAAUUUUUGCCAAAGAGUAGGACUUUGAAAGUCCCAAAUGAUGUCAACACAGUUACAGAGGGCAAGAAGGCUCCAAAGUAUCGCACAAUUGAAAUUUGCAGUAUUGUGGAAGGUCUAAAACCUGAGGUAUUCACUGCAAGCGGCUGGCCUUCAGUCAGUGGCGAUGCUUUGAGAAGUUUGGCUGGGAAAUUGAAAACUGAUCUUUACACAACGGAGGAUGCAGAGGAUGAUGAAUAUGUCAGUGAUUCAGAAAUUUCUGUGGAUGACAUAGAAGACGCUACCUCGUAUGGCACUGCAUACAAAGCAUUUGGAGGUGGAAAGGAAGGAAAGGAAGCAUGUUAUGCCAUUGCAGCUCUCUGCGAGAUCUGCUCUAUAGAUUCAUUGAUAUCAAAUUUUAUUCUACCCUUACAGGGAAAUCGUAUAUCCUGUAAGGAGGGGAGGAUCCACUGUUCCUUAAAUAUCAACACUGAAACUGGACGUUUGUCAGCAAGGGCGCCGAAUUUACAGAAUCAACCUGCACUUGAAAAGGAUCGGUACAAAAUCCGCCAAGCUUUUGUUGCAGCUCCGGGGAACUCUCUUAUUGUUGCUGAUUAUGGUCAGCUGGAGCUCAGGAUCCUGGCACAUCUUGCUAAUUGUAGAAGUAUGUUAGAUGCCUUCAAAGCUGGCGGUGACUUCCAUUCCAGGACAGCCAUGAAUAUGUACCAGCAUAUUCGUGAGGCUGUUGAAGAAAAGAGAGUACUUCUUGAGUGGGAUCCUCAACCUGGUCAAGAGAAACCCCCUGUGCCAUUGUUGAAGGAUGCAUUUGGUGCUGAGAGGAGGAAAGCUAAGAUGCUCAAUUUCUCCAUUGCAUAUGGAAAAACAGCUGCUGGGCUUGCUCGGGAUUGGAAGGUAUCAAAAAGGGAAGCAGAUGAUACACUGGAUCUCUGGUACAGCGACAGAAAAGAAGUUCGUUCAUGGCAAAAGGAACAGAAAGAAUUAGCAUAUGAGAAGUCUGAAGUUUAUACUUUGCUUGGACGAUCUCGCCGUUUCCCCAACAUUACUUCUGUAAACUCUAAACAGUGGAAGCACAUCGAGCGUGCUGCCAUCAAUGCUCCUGUACAGGGCAGUGCAGCAGAUGUUGCGAUGUGUGCAAUGAUUGAGAUAGAAAGGAAUACCCGUCUUAAGGAGCUCGGUUGGACCCUCCUGUUGCAGGUGCACGACGAGGUGAUACUGGAAGGACCUUCCGAGUCGGCUGAGGUGGCCAAGGCAAUAGUGGUUGAGUGCAUGUCUAAGCCCUUCUACGGCACCAACAUCCUGUCGGUUGACCUGGCUGUUGAUGCAAAAUGCGCACAGAACUGGUACGCGGCAAAGUAG
rnacentral:rRNA from 1 species